UUGUUAUUUAUGGCAUUAUUAUUGAUUUUGUGGAUGUUUACAGUAUGGUUGAUACUUGUGAUGGUUAUAUGACUUGUUUGUAAGCACUGUUUGACCUGUUAUUGUUGUGUUAUUGAUUCAUUGAAUAUUUGUUAUGUGACGAUGUCCGACUUCUUAUUUUUUUUAUUUAUGUUGUGUACAUGCUAUUAAAUUGAGUUGACAUAUGAU
rnacentral:lncRNA from 1 species